AGAUGGCGACCGACGCACGGGUGAGUAACACGUAUCCAACCUGCCGAUAACUCGGGGAUAGCCUUUCGAAAGAAAGAUUAAUACCCGAUGGUAUAAUCAGACCGCAUGGUCUUGUUAUUAAAGAAUUUCGGUUAUCGAUGGGGAUGCGUUCCAUUAGGCAGUUGGUGAGGUAACGGCUCACCAAACCUUCGAUGGAUAGGGGUUCUGAGAGGAAGGUCCCCCACAUUGGAACUGAGACACGGUCCAA
rnacentral:rRNA from 1 species